GACGAACGCUGGCGGCGUGCUUAACACAUGCAAGUCGAACGAUGAAACCUAGCUUGCUAGGUCGAUUAGUGGCGAACGGGUGAGUAACACGUGACUAACCUGCCCCUUUCUCUGGGAUAACGCUUCGAAAGGAGUGCUAAUACCGGAUACUCACAUCGAGGCACAUGCCUUGGUGUGGAAAGUUUUUCGGAAAGGGAUGGAGUCGCGGCCUAUCAGCUUGUUGGUGAGGUAACGGCUCACCAAGGCGACGACGGGUAGCCGGCCUGAGAGGGCGACCGGCCACACUGGGACUGAGACACGGCCCAGACUCCUACGGGAGGCAGCAGUGGGGAAUAUUGCACAAUGGGCGCAAGCCUGAUGCAGCGACGCCGCGUGAGGGAUGAAGGUCUUCGGAUUGUAAACCUGUUUCAGUAGGGACGAAGCGAAAGUGACGGUACCUAAAGAAGAAGCACCGGCUAACUACGUGCCAGCCGCCGCAGUAA
rnacentral:rRNA from 1 species